GGAUGAAAGUAUAGACAUGAUGGACAUUGCACAGCUGGCCAUCUUCAUCCGUGGAGAGGAAAUAUUGAACAUUAAAUCGAUGCACAACGACAGGAAAAGACAUUUUUUAAAACGUAUGUUAAAGUGUAACCGACAUGAAACUGCCCUGGGACAAACUUGUUGGACUUAGAACAGAUGGAGCGCCGGUGUUGUGCGGUGAAAAAAGCGGACUAGUCAGCAGGAUGCGAGUAAAGAUGCAGGAGGAGAACUGUACCGAUUGUGUUUUCCUACAAAAAGGUGAUGCAGACAGCUCAGACUUCCCAGUUUCCACCCUGCUGGGAGACCUAUUGAACACCAGUGAAUUGGGGAGGGUCUGCCAUGGGAUACCAUGCACCUGGUUUCCUCAUAGGACAAAGCACCAUUUGCCUUUUAACAGCUGGGAAAGGCUGGAGAGGACAGAGAAAAUGGGUGGAUUGUUUUGAAAUACUUCAGGCUGGAACAGGCUCCAGUGCCUGUGGAACUCCACCUGGAUAAGCAGCCAAGCAAAUGAAUCAUGUUUCAACAAAUUUGAUGUUGUUGCUUCACCAAAUGUGCAGUCUUUCCUUGAUCUGUUCAACAUGUUUAAUAUCCGCUUAAUUCAGCAAUUUGUAACCUGAGGUUGGCGUCACUGCUGUCUCUGUCUUAAGACCCUUUCCUUAGGUUUGGUCCUCUCUUCGUUUAACAGUCAUACCUCCAUCCAUGUCCUCUUAGAUUCCCAAAUCAAGAACAUAUGAAUAAACCCGAGCCUUCCAGUUUUCUCUCAUGUCAGUUUUAAUUUUUGGGAACAAGGCUGAACAGAAAACAAGGCAGUAGAAAAUCCACAAUAGAAGAAAUUGCACUAUGUAUGGAACAGUUUGAAAUGAUGAGGUGGAGAUGGGAAACCAACAUUUUAAAGCACUUCAUUCAAUGGUUGAUUCUCAUUAGAAAACUAAAUAUUUUUUAUUCAUGUUUAGUACAGACAGUGCAUUUGCUCAUUUGAGAUGACUCUGUUUACAGGAAAAUAGAGGCCAAACUCUUCCUCAACAUGAGCACAGUGCCGAGGGUCUUAUUGCUGUGUGAAACACAUUAAUGUAGUGUAGGUACUCAGGACCAUCAACCAUGUUAGUUGUUUAAAGGAAAUUUGUGAAUGAAAUCUCUUUAUUUUCAGUCAGUUUGCUGUACAGAAUACAACCAAAACUAAAGAUAAUUUACUUAGCAUUAACUAAUAACAUUAAACUGCUGUACAUGUGUAUACUAUAAAUAUGUAACAUAGCACUUGAAAACAGCCUAAUUUAGCUUCGUCUGAAGCCCCAGAGCAUGACGACGGCUGGUCAACUUUUUUGCCUGAAGCCAUCAACAAACAAACACUAUGCUGAUUGUGCUGCAAAUGUAUAAGGCCAGAAGUGUGAGGAAAAAGAUAAAA